rnacentral:rRNA from 1 species
AUUGAACGCUGGCGGCAGGCCUAACACAUGCAAGUCGAGCGGAUGAAGGGAGCUUUCUCCUGGAUUCAGCGGCGGACGGGUGAGUAAUGCCUAGGAAUCUGCCUGGUAGUGGGGGAUAACGUCCGGAAACGGGCGCUAAUAACGCAUACGUCCUGAGGGAGAAAGUGGGGGAUCUUCGGACCUCACGCUAUCAGAUGAGCCUAGGUCGGAUUAGCUAGUUGGUGGGGUAAAGGCCUACCCAGGCGACGAUCCGUAACUGGUCUGAGAGGAUGAUCAGUCACACUGGAACUGAGACACGGUCCAGACUCCUACGCGAGGCAGCAGUGGGGAAUAUUGGGCAAUGGGCGAAAGCGUGAUCCAGCCAUGCCGCGGGUGUGAAGAAGGUCUUCGGAUUGUAAAGCCCUUUAAGUUGGGAGGAAGGUCAGUAAGUUAAUACCUUGCUGUUUUGACGGUACCAACAGAAUAAGCACCGGCUAACUACGUG